rnacentral:rRNA from 1 species
CACGUAGGUGGCAAGCGUUGUCCGGAAUUACUGGGCGUAAAGCGCGCGUAGGCGGACCUGCAAGUCGGGGGUGAAAGCCCGAGGCUCAACCUCGGAACUGCCUUCGAUACUGCGGGUCUCGAGUCCGGGAGAGGUGAGUGGAAUUCCUAGUGUAGAGGUGAAAUUCGUAGAUAUUAGGAAGAACACCAGUGGCGAAGGCGGCUCAGCUGGCCCGGUACUGACGCUGAGGCGCGAAAGCGUGGGGAGCAAACAGG